rnacentral:rRNA from 1 species
GACGUAGGGGGCGAGCGUUGUCCGGAUUUAUUGGGCGUAAAGCGUGCGUAGGCGGCUGCGCAAGUCGGUUGUGAAACCCCCGGGGCUCAACCCCGGAACUGCAUCCGAUACUGCGUGGCUAGAGGUAGGUAGGGGAGAUCGGAAUUCCUGGUGUAGCGGUGAAAUGCGCAGAUAUCAGGAGGAACACCGGUGGCGAAGGCGGAUCUCUGGGCCUUACCUGACGCUCAGGCACGAAAGCUAGGGGAGCGAACAGG